rnacentral:rRNA from 1 species
GAUGAACGCUGGCGGCGUGCCUAAUACAUGCAAGUCGAGCGAACAGAUUAGGAGCUUGCUCCUCUGACGUUAGCGGCGGACGGGUGAGUAACACGUGGAUAACCUACCUAUAAGACUGGGAUAACUUCGGGAAACCGGAGCUAAUACCGGAUAAUAUAUUGAACCGCAUGGUUCGAUAGUGAAAGACGGUUUUGCUGUCACUUAUAGAUGGAUCCGCGCCGCAUUAGCUAGUUGGUAAGGUAACGGCUUACCAAGGCAACGAUGCGUAGCCGACCUGAGAGGGUGAUCGGCCACACUGGAACUGAGACACGGUCCAGACUCCUACGGGAGGCAGCAGUAGGGAAUCUUCCGCAAUGGGCGAAAGCCUGACGGAGCAACGCCGCGUGAGUGAUGAAGGUCUUCGGAUCGUAAAACUCUGUUAUUAGGUAAGAACAAAUGUGUAAGUAACUAUGCACGUCUUGACGGUACCUAAUCAGAAAGCCACGGCUAACUACGUG